CGUCUGGAGGUGCGAUCCCAGGUUGCUCAGGCCUUCCUGUCUAAGUUCCAGCUGUCCUCUGAAGAGAUGGACACACUACGAGGGGCAAGAGACGCGCCCGUCACGGAGGGCUUCUUCAAGGCUCUGAGCAGAGUGAAGAACAUCCAUGAAGACGUCAGGAUUCUCCUGAGGACCAACCAGCAGACUGCAGGGCUGGACAUCAUGGAACAGAUGGCUGUGUUACAGGAGACGUCCUACGAACAGCUCUACCGCUGGACACAGAAUGAGUGCCGUGGUUGACCAGGAGUCCUGUGACAUCAGUC